UACAGAGGGGGCGAGCGUUAUUCGGAAUUAUUGGGCGUAAAGGGCGCGUAGGCGGUUCGAUAAGUCCCGUGUGAAAUCCCUCGGCUCAACUGAGGAAUGGCACGGGAAACUGUCGGGCUAGAGUCCGGAAGAGGCGAGUGGAAUUCCCGGUGUAGCGGUGAAAUGCGCAGAUAUCGGGAGGAACACCAAUGGCGAAGGCAGCUCGCUGGGACGGUACUGACGCUGAGACGCGAAAGCGUGGGGAGCAAACAGG
rnacentral:rRNA from 1 species